rnacentral:rRNA from 1 species
UACGGAGGAUGCAAGCGUUAUCCGGAUUCAUUGGGUUUAAAGGGUACGUAGGUGGCCUGUUAAGUCAGUGGUGAAAGUUUGCCGCUUAACGGUAAAUUGCCAUUGAUACUGAUGGGCUUGAGUGCAGAUGAGGUAGGCGGAAUGUGUAGUGUAGCGGUGAAAUGCUUAGAUAUUACACAGAACUCCGAUUGCGAAGGCAGCUUACUAAACUGUAACUGACGCUGAGGUACGAAAGCGUGGGGAGCGAACAGGAUUAGAUACCCCGGUAGU